CUGAACAGCUCCUUGACAAUGCCUUGAACUUCCAUUUUUUUCUGCUGAAGACGAUAGCUGAAGUUAUCUCUCUGCACUUCGGAUGAAUAGAGGAGAGAGAAAAUGAUAAUGUGCUAACUCUUAACAUCAUUCACUACUUCGUUUCCAGAAUUCGUUAACCUUUGUGUUCCAACAGCCCAAGGAAUGUGCAGCCCACUCUUGGAACAGAGAGCAGAUGUUGGAAGGUCUUCUCACUUCAGAAUGAAGAAAUCAAUCACAG
rnacentral:lncRNA from 1 species